rnacentral:lncRNA from 1 species
CGAGUGGUAGAUUUUGAUGGAGUCUCGCUUGGAUGCUGGGGAGAUCCAUAGAUCUAGAUAGAGUCCCCGGAAUAGUACGCGCGCUAGCGCGCUACGGCUUACGCAGUUGAUCGGAUCAGAUAGCCCUUCGGGCAACCAACCAAACCCGGCACAUCAAAUUCCAUUCCGAUCAACAACUUGAAGGUAUGGCUGAGUGGCUUAAGGCAUUGGUUUGCUAAAUCGACAUACAAGAAGAUUGUAUCAUGGGUUCAAAUCCCAUUUCCUCCUGGAAUCGCUAGUAAUCGCGGAUCCGCAUGCCGCGGUGAAUAUGUACCCGGGCCUUGUACACACCGCCCGUCACACCCUGGGAAUAGGUUUCGCCCGAAGCAUCGGACCAAUGAUCACCCAUGACUUCUGUGUACCACUAGUGCCACAAAGGCUUUUGGUGGUCUUAUUGGCGCAUACCACGGUGGGGUCUUCGACUGGGGUGAAGUCGUAACAAGGUAGCCGUAGGGGAACCUGUGGCUGGAUUGAAU